rnacentral:rRNA from 1 species
AGCAGCCGCGGUAAUUCCAGCUCCAAUAGCGUAUAUUAAAGUUGUUGCAGUUAAAAAGCUCGUAGUUGAAUUUCGGGGUUCAUACGUUGGUCGGGCUUUUUUGGUCUGUACUUAUGUAAUGGAUUCCUACCUUCUGAAUAACCGGCAUGCCAUUAAUUUGGUGCGCCGGGGAAGCAGGACUGUUACCUUGAAAAAAUUAGAGUGCUUAAAGCAGGCUAUCGCCUGAAUACAUUAGCAUGGAAUAAUGAAAUAGGACGGCAUGGUUCUAUUUUGUUGGUUUCUAGGAUCACCGUAAUGAUUAAUAGGGAUAGUUGGGGGCAUUAGUAUUCAAUUGUCAGAGGUGAAAUUCUUGGAUUUAUUGAAGACUAACUUCUGCGAAAGCAUUUGCCAAGGAUGUUUUCAUUAAUCAAGAACGAAAGUUAGGGGAUCGAAGACGAUCAGAUACCGUCGUAGUCUUAACCAUAAACUAUGCCGACUAGGGAUCGGACGAUGUUAAUUUUUUUAAUGACUCG